AGCAGUAGCCGCGGGAAUACCGAGGGUGCGAGCGUUAAUCGGAUUUACUGGGCGUAAAGCGUGCGUAGGCGGCUUUUUAAGUCGGAUGUAAAAUCCCUGAGCUUAACUUAGGAAUUGCAUUCGAUACUGGGAAGCUAGAGUAUGGGAGAGGAUGGUAGAAUUCCAGGUGUAGCGGUGAAAUGCGUAGAGAUCUGGAGGAAUACCGAUGGCGAAGGCAGCCAUCUGGCCUAAUACUGACGCUGAGGUACGAAAGCAUGGGGAGCAAACAGGAUUAGAUACCCCAGUAGUCCCUGUCUCUUAUAU
rnacentral:rRNA from 1 species